UGCCGGCGACCGGCGGACGGGUGCGUAACGCGUAUGUAACCUACCUUUGACAGGGGGAUAACAUCGAGAAAUUGGUACUAAUACCCCAUAACAUCACCGGAGGCAUCUUCGGUGGUUGAAAACUCAGGUGGUCAGAGAUGGACAUGCGUUGUAUUAGCUAGUUGGCGGUGUAACGGACCACCAAGACGACGAUGCGUAGGGGUUCUGAGAGGAAGGUCCCCCACACUGGUACUGAGACACGGACCAGACUCCUACGGAAGGCAGCAG
rnacentral:rRNA from 1 species